AGACGGAGGGGGCUAGCGUUAUUCGGAAUUACUGGGCGUACAGGGCGCGUAGGCGGAUUAGUAAGUUGGGAGUGAAAGCCCGGGGCUUAACCUCGGAACUGCUUUCAAAACUGCUAGUCUUGAGUGAAGUAGGGGGUGAUGGAAUUCCUAGUGUAGAGGUGAAAUUCUUAGAUAUUAGGAGGAACACCGGUGGCGAAGGCGGUCACCGGGACUUCAACUGACGCUGAGGCGCGAAAGCGUGGGGAGCAAACAGGACUAGAAACCCUAGUAGUCC
rnacentral:rRNA from 1 species